rnacentral:rRNA from 1 species
AUUGAACGCUGGCGGCAUGCCUUACACAUGCAAGUCGAACGGUAACAGGUCUUCGGAUGCUGACGAGUGGCGAACGGGUGAGUAAUACAUCGGAACGUGCCCGAUCGUGGGGGAUAACGAGGCGAAAGCUUUGCUAAUACCGCAUACGAUCUACGGAUGAAAGCGGGGGAUCUUCGGACCUCGCGCGGACGGAGCGGCCGAUGGCAGAUUAGGUAGUUGGUGGGAUAAAAGCUUACCAAGCCGACGAUCUGUAGCUGGUCUGAGAGGAUGAUCAGCCACACUGGGACUGAGACACGGCCCAGACUCCUACGGGAGGCAGCAGUGGGGAAUUUUGGACAAUGGGCGAAAGCCUGAUCCAGCCAUGCCGCGUGCAGGAUGAAGGCCUUCGGGUUGUAAACUGCUUUUGUACGGAACGAAAAGCCUCUUUCUAAUAAAGAGGGGUCAUAACGGUACCGUAAGAAUAAGCACCGGCUAACUACGUG